rnacentral:rRNA from 1 species
GUCUUUGGCCAUACCACCCUGAACGUGCUCGGUCUCAUCUGAUCUCAGAAGUUAAGUAGGGUCGGGCCUGGUUAGUACCUGGAUGAGAACAUAAGGAGGAAUGAAAAAA